rnacentral:rRNA from 1 species
UACGUAGGGACCAAGCGUUGUUCGGAUUUACUGGGCGUAAAGGGCGCGUAGGCGGCGUGACAAGUCACUUGUGAAAUCUCCGGGCUUAACUCGGAACGGUCAAGUGAUACUGUCGGACUAGAGUACAGAAGGGGCAACUGGAAUUCUCGGUGUAGCGGUGAAAUGCGUAGAUAUCGAGAGGAACACCUGCGGCGAAGGCGGGUUGCUGGGCCGACACUGACGCUGAUGCGCGAAAGCCAGGGGAGCGAACGGG